GUCUAUGGCCGUGCCACCCUGAACAAGCCCAAUCCCAUCUGAUCUCGGAAGCCAAGCAGGGUCGGGCCUGGUUAGUAUUUGGAUGGGAGACCACCAAGUAUUGUAGGCA
rnacentral:rRNA from 1 species